CGAGCGCACCCACAUCCUUAGUUGCCAGCAGUUCGGCUGGGCACUCUAGGGAAACUGCCCGUGAUAAGCGGGAGGAAGGUGUGGAUGACGUCAAGUCCUCAUGGCCCUUACGGGUUGGGCUACACACGUGCUACAAUGGUAGUGACAAUGGGUUAAUCCCCAAAAACUAUCUCAGUUCGGAUUGGGGUCUGCAACUCGACCCCAUGAAGUCGGAAUCGCUAGUAAUCGCGUAACAGCAUGACGCGGUGAAUACGUUCCCGGGCCUU
rnacentral:rRNA from 1 species